CGGAGAGCCACGUGCACAGACCCCGGAGAGGCGCGCACGAGCGGACCCCGACACGCAGGGACACGCAGCACCAGCCGAGAUACGACCGAGGCACGCACGCGCACACACACACUCCAGUCUCCCUCUCCCGGCCGAGGCUGUGCGGUCCACGCUCUCCACCCCUCUCGGACCCCCAGCCGCGGGAGCCGAACAGGGAGGUACCAGGCUAGGCCCUCCCCGUGCUCACCACUGCCGUGACUCUGGGUGCUGGGGUCCCUGCAGCCAGGCCCAAGAGAACCCCAGGGGCUGGCGGUGGCACCAAAAAAACACGUCCAGACCCUGGUUUCACCUUGGCCACAGCGCUGGAGGCGGGCAGGUGAGACACCGCGGGGCCAUGCAGACGGCCAGCACUCGACUUUGCCUAAAAAAGGAAGCAGCAGGCUGAGUCUGAGGAGCUGGCGGCACGAACAAGGGAGAGCUGUGUCCCCGCCGGCGUCCCCUGCCCCCCCCGCCAGGGAUCUUGGCAGUGGAGGUGCUGGCUGGGCUCCACAGACCUCAGACCUCGGCUGGGACCAGAAAUGCCUGCUGCUUCCGCCUGGGCCCGGUGGGGGGACUUUGGGUCCCCAGAGUGCCAGCUGUGCCACUUCGAGGGGCCUCAGACCUCGGCUGGGACCAGAAAUGCCUGCUGCUUCCGCCUGGGCCCGGUGGGGGGGACUUUGGGUCCCCAGAGUGCCAGCUGUGCCACUUCGAGGGGCCUCGCCAGGCUCCCCAGCCCCGAGUACACAGGGGCUGCUGUGGAGAUGACGCUCAAGGCCGCAGCCGCUGGAGGACCUGGGGUCUGACCGGAAGCUGGCUGCAGACCCUGCGGAGGCACGCCCAGGCCAGGCCUCUGCUCUCCGGGGCUAUGGCCUCCCACAGGCACGUUCCUACACCCCUCUGUGAACUGCCCACAGGCCCCCCCACAGGUGUUCCUCUGUGAGCUGGUCGGGCGGCUGGGGCUGGGGCCGGGCUUUGCCACUCAGUGCCUUCAACCUCCCUGGCGGUUUGGGGCCUCAGGGUGGGCCUGGGAAGCUGGAAACACCUUUGGAAACAGCCGUCUGAAGCAGCUGUGGACAGAAGACCCUGCCCAGCAGCCAAGGGAGCUGGCCUCUCCGCUCAGCCUCCCCACCCCCACCAGGCCCAGCUGUUGUUUUCAUGGCUCCGGGACCAGGCGGAUCCUCAGCCAAGAGCUUCCCAGGAGAGCCCUCAUCUUCAACCCCUAGUGGUGGCCAGAGCCAGCCCAGGCAGGACGGGAAGGAAGGCAGCCGCGGCCCCGGGGAAGCCAUCCUGGCAGCUUGGCCACUGGCCCGGCUCCUGUCUGACCAGGAAAGGCAUCAAAGCCGGACUCGGAUGGAGGCUGGAAAACCCCGAGACUUCUGCUGGACUCGACCCAGCCACACACCAGGCUGUACUCAGGGCCACGGAACAAGCCUCGACCCUGGCCCCAGACGGAGCCCAGACCUUGCUGGUCACGGGCUGAGCCCUGCUGGCAAUAUGAUGUACUAGAUCCCUUAAAAGGCCUUUCAGCAACAACCAACUUCUGGAUGAAUUACUAUGAGCAUACAUUUUUAAUAGACUGCUGUGUUUCCAAGAAGGUAAAUAUCUCUGAGGCUCCCCCAAAAUUAAACAGCAAAAAUAAAUGAGGCCAGGUGGGGUGGUUCAUGCCUGUAAUCCCAACACUUUAGGAGGCUGAGGCGAGAGGAUUGCUUGUGCCUAGGAGUUCGAGACCAGCCUGGGCAACAUGAUGAGACCCCGUCUCUACAAAAAAUUUAAAAUUAGCUGGGUGUGGUGGUGUACUCUGUAGUCACAGCUACUUGGGAGGCUGAGGCAGGAGGAUCACUUGAGCCCGGGAGGGCGAGGCUGCAGGGAGCUAGGGAGCUCACCACUGCACUCAGACUGGGCGGCAGAGCAAGACUCUGUCUCUAAGUAAACAAACCAACAGAGUAGUGUGGAGACCUGGAUGAUGAAGGGAAGUGGUUGGGAAAGCAGAUAACUCCCUGGACACACAGGGACAGAGAGCCAGCCUGCGGCCAGGGAACAAGUAUGUCUCUGCCUAGGGGCUGCUAAACCAGGGGUCUCAAGGGUCACUGAGGGGGCCGAGGGUGGUCUCGCCUGGAAAAGGGGAAUAAUCUCUGGAGGGAAGCAUCCCCAAGUGGGACCUCAGAAUUGUCACAGAUAACAGCUGACAAUUAAACAUUACCAAACGUUCAGAGAAACACCAUGCUACUGAUGAGAAUCAGCAGAAACAAUAAUCACAGAUUUAGACCCCCAGAGACUAGGAAAUUGGAAUUAUUUAGUACAGAAUAUAAAAUAACUAUAUAUGAAAUAUGUUUAAGAAGUGGAAACUGUAACCUGAAAAGUAAGCAUGUACCAAGAGACCAUAAAAAAUAAUCAGACAAAUCUAAAACAAUGAGAUGUAACUUUUAGAUAUGCUAACCCUUUUUUUUUUUGAGAUGGAGUCGAUUCUUGUGCCUCAGCCUCCUGAGUAGCUGGGACUGCAGGUAUGCACCACCAUGGCCAGCUAAUUUUUUUUGUUGUUUUUUUGUGUGUUUUUAAGAUGGAGUCUCGCUCUUGUUGUCCAGGCUGGAGUGCAAUGGUGUGAUUUCGGCUCACUGCAAUCUCCGCCUCCUGGGUUCAAGCGAUCCUCCUGCCUCAGCCUCCCAAGUAGCUGAGGUUAUAGGUGCCCACCACCACGCCCAGCUAAUUUUUGUAUGGUUUUUUUUUUUUGAGAUGGAGCCUUGCUCUGUC